rnacentral:rRNA from 1 species
AUUGAACGCUGGCGGCAGGCCUAACACAUGCAAGUCGAGCGGAUGAAGGGAGCUUGCUCCUGGAUUCAGCGGCGGACGGGUGAGUAAUGCCUAGGAAUCUGCCUGGUAGUGGGGGAUAACGUCCGGAAACGGGCGCUAAUACCGCAUACGUCCUGAGGGAGAAAGUGGGGGAUCUUCGGACCUCACGCUAUCAGAUGAGCCUAGGUCGGAUUAGCUAGUUGGUGGGGUAAAGGCCUACCAAGGCGACGAUCCGUAACUGGUCUGAGAGGAUAAUCAGUCACACUGGAACUGAGAACCGGUCCAGACUCCUAGGGGAGGCAGGGGUGGGGAAUAUUGAGAAAUGGGCAAAAGCCUAAUCCAGCCAUGCCGCGUGUGUAAAGAAGGUCUUCGGAUUGUAAUGCCCUUUAAGUUGGGAGGAAGGGCAGUAAGUUAAUCCCUUGCUUUUUUGACGUUACCAACAGAAUAAGCACCGGCUAACUUCGU